CGUCCAGCGUGUUCUUUCAUAGCAUCUGCAUUUCCUCGAACUUCUCAUUUCCUUGCACCCACAGGCUUUGGCGGAGAAUUUCCUUCGCUACUACAUUGUGGAUGGAAUUUUGUCAUGUAGGCCUAUUUAGAAGGAUGUUAUUCAUCAAAAAUCAUGUUGGCCGAGGUAUCUAUCAUUCGUUUGAUCAAAUUUCUGAACUAGAUCCACGUUUGUUCAAUUAUGUAAUGCUGGCCAAGAACCUCAUGUAUAAAAUUGAAUUGAUCCUGAUGUGUUUUCAAGUUCAUAUGAACCGAAUUGAUUCCUAUAUUUGUUUGCUUAUUUUUGAACUGAUCCUGUUUAGUCGUU